rnacentral:lncRNA from 1 species
GCCGAAGAUGGACCAGGAAGGGAGGUACAGGGGACUUGGAAAGGCAGAGAUGAGGUGCAGGGCGUGAGCAGAAGCCCCCACCCUCUGGCAUGUUUGUCAAUGGCGCUUUUUUGGGAUCACUUAAUCUCUCUUUUCCACUCAGUGUAAAUCAGCAGUCCCUAACUUUUUUGGCACCAGGGACCAGUUUGGCGGGAGAUGAUUUUCCCACAGACAGGGCAGGUGGCAGGGGUGUGGCGGCGGAUGGUUUCGGGAUGAAACUGUCCCACCUCUGAUCUUCAGGCAUUCGAUUCUCACAAGGAGCAUGUGGCCUAGAUCCCUCGCAUGCAC